GAGAAGGCGGUCCAAGGCAGGGAGUGCUUGGGGGAGCCUCCUGCAGGAAUGCGCUCUGUGGACCUUGCUCAGUUCAGACCAACAGGUGUUCUUUGCAUUCCAGGCCUGUUUUCUUCCAGGAAUGCACAGGCUUUUCAUAGUUAAGACAGCUGCAGAGGACGAGAAAAAUCCAGAGCCCUAAACAGAAGCGUUUUCAGAAGAUGUGCGACUCGCAUGAAAAGUCCCCAGAGGAUGCACACUCCGGAGAUGGGUUAGAAAAUGUGAAAGUUCAGCUUUGUCCCUGGGUGUCGUUAAAGCACUUAAUCGGAGGCAAUGCGCAUUUGCAAACAAAAGGACUGUCACUUUGAUGCCUGAAUACAGAAAGCUGUGCUUGUCGGCCACCAAAUAGCUCCAUUUCCACACAGUUAAUCUUCAGAGCGUCUGUUCAGGUGAACUCCGGUUUGUGCUCUGUAGAGACUUGCUUUUGCUGUUUGGACAGGUGAGAGCAUCCACCGAGCAGUUCUGUUAAAAUAAUAACUUGUUUGUGUGAGGAGGGAAGCAUUCGAGCAUGUACCAGUUAUCUUUAAUGUCUAUUUUGAUGGCUUUUUAUUUAUGGAAUAUCGGUGCAUUUUUAUCUGCAACGCCUCUCAGUUGUUUUCGGAGAGGGCUUUAGAUACAAAUGAGUGAUGGGCACAGCCAUGGACAGCCCAUCUUAAAUUAAAUAUUCUCUGCUUGAUCUUGCCAUUUUAUUUUUAAAAAAGAGAAAUUAGCAUGAGUUCAUUUCAUAUCUUAUACUGUCCAAGCCAGAAAUAAUACCAUAAUCCUAGGGGUCGCCCUAUUUAAUGCCUUCAAACAGCUCUUUAAAUACAUAUGUCUUUGUCUUUGCUUUUGACUUUCUUUCAUGUUUCUUAGGCAUUUGACUUUGGAGUCUGUCUGAGUCACACUCCUGUUUUUGCAAAUUCUCCUUGAAGCUGUCCUCUUUUGGGAAGUCCUUGCAGGGCUGAUGGUCAAUCAGAAUUCCUAUAUUUAUCCUGGGCACUGAGGGAAUUCAUCAUCCUUUUUUAUUCUGGGCAAGGGGGACCAGAUGAAAGUGGGCAUCUGGUCUGUCUUUUAACAAAAAUACAAAAUAUGCUUUUUAAAACACCAUAUUGAAACCAUCCACGCAAUGUUGUGGGGACAGCUGGGGGUCCAGAUCAUUUGCCUGUCAUGGUUCUCUGUUUAUUAGGAAACAUUGUAGCUCCUGGACAGCCCUACCUCACUUGGGGAUCCGUCGGUUGAAGCCGAGUUUUGAUACAUGUUAUAUCACGAAGCCCAUGGGAAGUGCUCUGAGCAUAAAAUCUCAGGAAUGCAGUUUCUCUGAGAUCUUUUCCCUAUUUCCCAUUUCUAGUGAUGUAGUUAGAUGUACUUAGAAUUUCAGAGUCUGUUGCAAUUUGGUUGAUGGUUACACCUAAGGUGGGCUCCAGUCAAAAUUAUAACAUUGGCAAAGAGCCUCCUCGGAGGCUUUUCCCCAGGUGCUCAGAACCUGUUCAGGUGUACCUGGGACCCCACCGCCCUCCCCGUUGGGCCAGACAUUGUCCCAGGCCAGGACCCCGUAGUUCCCAUCCACUUCUAAUCUCUCAGUAGAGAUCUUGUCUGUUCGUUCAUUCAUCCAUUCAUUUAACACACGUUGAGAGGCUGCUGAGAACCAGGUCUUCCAAUCAGACCUGGGGAUACAGAGGGAGCAUGCAGUGGCUGCCUUCAGGACCUUUACAAUGUGUGUGCAAGUUACAGAAGCAAUUAAAUAAUGAUGCCGUGUCAGAUCAGGUGAGAGAGGUAGCAGGAGGGGGAGGGAACCAACUAAUGGGAAAGCUUCGCCAGGAGGUGAGGCAUCUGCUUGCAAGAAUCCAGAAGGAAACCAGUGUGGCUGGGAAAGAGGAUGGACUCCGCCGCUCUUGGCACCUUCUGAAGGUAUCUCAGCAGUUGCACUUGACUCUUUCUGUUUUGUUUUUCAGGGUACUAUUUUAAGGAAUAUUUAAUUUAUUGAUUUCCAAGAGGCAUAAGGUAAGUUGGACUUCUUAUGGAUAUAUUCAAUGUUCAGAAAGGUUGAUUUUUGUUAUCAGCAACCACAGUUUCAACAUUUCAUCUGACCUUUUUCAGUAGGUAACAAUUUCCUUUGACUUUAUGUUGAUGUAAUUUCUUAACUUGCCAAAGUUUUGGAAUGUUUAGCAUUUUUUUUUUCAAUUUCUCAAUUAGCACAUCAAGUUUCCUUUUUUCCAGGACUUGAUAGCUAACUUCCCUUAAAUGUGGUAUUUGUUGCUGCUGUUACUGCUCCUUUCUAGGUCAUUCCUUACAUUGCUCAUCGUCAGCAUUUCCUAAGUUGGUCAUUUCAAUGAUUUUCGGCGAAUUGGCCCUAUCUCACAUCUCUCUUUCUAAACUUACUUUCAUUACGUUUUUAUUUUAAAUUGUUCUGUUUACAUAUGUUUAGUUCUUGUGAAACUUCCAUUAUACUUUGAAGUUUGCAUGAAUAUAAAUUCCAAGUAAAUACAUUAAUUUCUCCUCUUCCCUCAUCGAUCUCCAGCAUCCUUCACUAAUUAAAUAUUUAUUGAAGGCCCGUUCUGUGCCUUGCAUAAUGAUAGGCUUUGGGAAUAGAAAGAAGGAAUAGAAUCUUUGUCCUCUACAUGUAUGGACACUAAAUAAUGGAGUUUAUUUGCGGUCUCUUAUUCUGUUAGGCAAUAUUUUACUUCAGUGAAUUUAGUUUCUUACUCUAUAGAAAUGCACGAUGCACUUAUCAUGUCUUAUGAUCAGCCCAGCUGUGGGAAGUGAUAUUAGCUUUUUAGUUUCUCAGAAAGACAUACAAGGCUUCGCCAAGCCUUUGGCAUAACCUCCUUUUCUUUUUUUUUCUUUCUAUGAACUAACUUUUAAGUCUGGUGUCGAUAGCACUUGACUGUGUUAUUCUGAUUUUUGAAAACCUAAAACUUACCUUCUUAAAAUUUAGUAGCUUAUUCUCUACUUCUUUCUUCUUCUUCUAAAAAAAAAUACAGAAAGGAAAAAGAAAAAGAAAGCGUCCUCAUGACAUCAUUAGCUCUAAGUUUCUCUGGGCCCUUCAAGUGUUUGGGUCAAGUGGCUUCUAUAUAGGGUCUAUACAGGUUCCUUGCUGAAUGUCUAAGUGAAUUUCCAAUGAUACAAAUAUACUAAUGUCUCCUCCUCCCCAGUUAAUAUGGUACUCAAUAAAGCCAACCCUGUUGCUACUACUUGGUGGGCAUUUUCCAAGAUGGUUCCUGGGACUUUGGUGUUUGGCAAACCGUGGCAUGGUCACUAAGAACUUGCCAAUUUUAACAGCCUACGAUUGUUUUACAGUGAUCAGAUCUAUGCACACUUACCUCCAAAGUCCGAGGAAGCUGAGAGGCUGAAGAAAGUGGCCAACACAUCCAUUUUCUCAGAAAGAAACAUUUAAUGGGGACUUAGGAACAGAAGCCAGAGUCUCAGGCAGUCGCCAAACAGGAUGAUGGAUCCCCACACCAUCACUUCCAGACCCAGGACUUAUACACCAGUGCAGCCGACUCCUCAGGGAAAGGCAAGAGUGCUGUUCGAAUCUGCCUAAUGGCAAGAAUUAUGGUCAAGGUUCUGUUUUCUGUUUUUUUGAGGUGGAGUCUUGCUCUUGUCACCCAGGCUAGAGUGCAGUGGUGUAAUCUUAGCUCACUACAAUCUCCGCCUCCUUGGUUCAAGUGAUUCUCCUGCCUCAGCCUCCCGAGUACCUGGGAUUACAGGUACCUGCCACCAUGCCUGGCUAUUUUUUGUAUUUUUAGUAGAGACAGGGUUUUACCAUGUUGGUCAGGCUGGUCUUGAACUCCUGACCUUAGGUGAUCUGCCUGCCUGGGCCUCCCAAGGUGCUGGGAUCAUAGGUGUGAGGCACCGUAUUUGGCCAGUCAAGGUUCUUUUUUUGACCUAAGGGUAGGAUUUAUGGUAACAAUAGAUAAAGUAGAAAUCUUAGAGUUGUUCCUAGAACAGGGAUUCAUCAGAAGUCACCACAGUGGAUCAGAUACAAGGUGGGGCUUUAGGCUCCACAGUGAUCUUCGUGGAUUCAAGCUUGGUGCUGCACAAACUGACCUAUGAGACAGCCAAUAAAACAUUACAGAUGUGGAAUGUGUUUUAUUUCCUGUGCCAGUCAAGGUUCAGGGCAGAACGCAGAAUCUACUUGAUGUAUCUUAAGCAGAAUGACUGUAUAUUAAUGAAUUGGGUGCUCACACAAUUGUUGUUGGGGCUGGAUAACCAGGUUCCAGUCUAGAACUCUGAAAAUAAUGCCCAGGUGCCAGAGAGUCUGGUGCUGACCCCUGGGCCUGUAAGAUUCAGGACCACACUCUUUUUUUUUUAAUUUAAAUUUUUAUUUUUUAUUUUACUUUAAGUUCUGGGGUACGUGUGUAGAACUUGCAGGAUUGUUACAUAGGUAUACACAUGCCCUGGUGGUUUGCUAUCUCCAUCCCCCCGUCACCUACAUUAGGUAUUUCUCCUGUUAUCCCUCCCUAAUCUCCUCAUCCCCUGCUAUUCCUCCCCCAGCUUCCCACCCCCUACAGACCCUGGUGUGUGAUUUUUCUCCUCCCUGUGACCAUGUGUUCUUAUUGUUCAACUCCAAAUUCUGAGUGAGAACAUCCAGUGUUUGGUUUUCUGUUCUUGUGUCAGUUUGCUGAGAAUGAUGGUUUCCAGCUUCAUCCAUGUCCCUGCAAAGGACAUGAACUCAUCCUUUUUUAUGGCUGCAUACUAUUCCAUCAUGUAUAUGUGCCACAUUUUCUUUAUCCAGUCUAUCGUUGAUGGGCAUUUGGGUUGAUUCCAAGUCUUCACUACUGUAAACAGUGCUGCAAUGAACAUACAUGUGCAUAUAUCUUUAUAAUAGAAAUGAUUUAUAAUCCUUUGGGUAUAUACCCAGUAAUAGGAUCGCUGGGUCAAAUGAUAUUUCUAGUUGUAGAUCCUAGAGGAACUGCCACACUGGCUUCCACAAUGGUUGAACUAAUUUACAUUCCUACCAACAGUGUAAAAGCGUUUCUAUUUCUCCAUGUCCUCUCCAGCAUCUGUUGUCUCCAGAUUUUUUAAUGAUCGCCAUUCUAACUGGCAUGAGAUGGUAUCUCAAUGUGGUUUUGAUUUGCAUUUCUCUAAUGACCAGUGAUGAGCAUUUUUUCAUGUUUGUCGGCCACAUAAAUGUCUUCUUUUUAGAAGUAUCUGUUCAUAUCCUUUGCCUACUAUUUGAUGGGGUUGUUUUUUUCUUGUAUAUUUGUUUUAGUUUUUUGUAGAUUCUGGAUAUUAUCCCUUUGUCGGAUGGGUAGAUUGCAAAAAUUUUUUCCCAUUCUGUUGGUCGCUGGUUCACUGUAAUGAUUGUUUCUUUUGCUGUGCAGAAGCUCUUAAGUUUAAUUAGAUCCAAUUUGUCUAUUUUGGCUUUUGUUGCCAUUGCUUUUGGUGUUUUAGUCAUGAAGUCCUUGCCCAUGCCUAUGUCUGGGCCACACUCUUAAGGCUGAGAGCCACUGAUACAUUGGAAAGCCCUAUUGCUAGGGUGGCAGUGGCCUCUCUAUACCCACAAAGCUGGAGAUGGACUUUCAGAGGCAGAAUGAGGUCCCUGUCUCACCUGUAACUGCCUCUUAAUACCGAGGAAGCUGGAGAUGGGGCACUAAAGCACAGCAAUAGGUAGAAACCUCAUAUUCCUAAGACCUUGUUAUCAGCUGAUAAGAAGCCAGAGGGCACCAGUCUCUCCUUUACCUGGCUUCCCCCUUUAAAAUCUCAGUGACUUUUAACAUCCUCAGGUCUUUUGCUGAAAAGAAGUCUAGGAAAUGUAGAUUUUAGCCUCUCGGGUUCUAUAGUGCAGGAAAGCACCCUAGAAAGGGUUGAGAAUGAAUGCUGAGUGCAAACUAAUUACAUGCAAUACAAUUGUAUACGCACAAAGUAGUGUAAUGUGCUGCUGAAUACCACAUGAUGAGCAGCUAGGCAAAAUAUCUUGUAUAAGGAGAGGGCCUCCUGGAGUUUGUUUUAUUGGAAUCUUCUGCCAUUAGGGCAACCAACCCUCCCUGCUUAUGUCAUACUUGAAAUAAGAACUUUCAGGAAAAUUUCAGUAAGGCUAGUCCUGUGUAGAGAAGAGAGAGAAAGUAAGGUGUGCAUGAAGUCCCAGGAGAUUUAAGAGAGCUGAAGUUUACCCUAAUUCUCCCCAUGUCAAAAUGAGUGGAAUCUAUACUCGUGAUACAAGCAGCAGGAAUGAAUCUGGACUGAAUUUCUUACUUGCAUAUAAUUCAUGUGGCAUUAUGUGAGUUGGGAAGCACUAGUAAACCAGAUACUUGAGAACAUUGUGAUGUUAGAUGUCAUGUAUCAUUAAUGAAGUCAGCACACAUUCCUUAGGCCACACCACCUAUGUGAAGGCCUUUGGAGCAAGACCGCCAUUAGGUGACAUUGUCCUCAGUUCACUGGGAAGGAGUGUAUUAGUCUGUUCUUAUGCUGCAAUGAAGAAAUACCCAAGACUGGGUAAUCGAUAAAGAAAAAGGUUUAAUUGACUCACAGUUAUGCAUGGCUGAAGAGGCCUCAGCAAACUUAGAAUCAUGGCGGCAGGCACCUCUUCACAGGGCAGCAGGAGAGAGAAUAGGUGCAUGAAGGGGAAAUGUCAGAUGCUUAUAAAACCAUCAGAUCUUGUGAGACUCACUAUCAUGAGAACAGCAUGGGGGAAACUGCCCCCAUGACCACAUUGCCUCCACCUGGUUCCACCCUUGACAUAUGGGGAUUAUAAUUCAAGGUGAAAUUUGGGUGGGGACACAGAUUCAAACCAUAUCAUUCUGCACCUGGCCCCUCUCAAAUCUCAUGUCCUUACAUUUCAAAACACAAUCAUGCCUUUCCAACAGUCCUCAAAGUGUUAGUCUUAACUCAUUCCAGCAUGAACCCAGAAGUCCAAGUCCAAAGUCUCACCUGAGACAAGGUAAGUCUAUUCUGCCUAGGAGCCUGUGAAAUCAAAAGCAAAAGCAAGUUAGUUACUUCCCAGAUACAAUGGGGGUACAGGUAUUGGGUAAAAGCAGCCAUUCCAAAUGGGAGAAAUUGGCCCAAACAAAGGCCCCAGGCAAGUCUGUAAUCUAAUAGCGCAGUCAUUAAAUCACAAAGUUCCAAAAUGAUCUCCUUUGACUCCCUGUCUCACAUCCAGGUCAUGCUGAUGCAAGAGGUAGGCUUCCACAGCCUUGGGCAACUUCACCCCUGUGACUUUGCAGGGUACAGCUCCCCUCCCUCCCAGCUGCUUUCAUUGAGUGUCUGCUGCUUUUCUAGGUACACAGUGCAAACUGUCAAUGAAUCUACCAUUCUGGGGUCUGGAAGAUGGUGGUCCUCUUCUCAUAGCUCCACUAGGCAGUGCCCCAGUGGGUACUUUGUGUGGGGGCUCCAACUCCAUAUUUCCCUUCAGCAUUGCCCUAGCAGAAGUUCUCCAUGAGGGAGAAAACUUCUGCCUGGACAUCCAUGCAUUUCCCUAUAUCAUCUGAAAUCUAGGUGGAGGUUCCCAAACCUAAAUUUUUGACUUCUGUGCACCCACAGGCUCAACAUCACGUGGAAGUCACCAAGGCUUGGGACUUGCACUCUCUGAAGCAAUGGCCUGAGCUGUACCUUGGCUCCUUUUAGCCACAGCUGGAGCUGAAACAGCUGGGAUGCAGGGCACCAUGUCCUGAAGCUGUGUAGAUCAGGGGGGUCCUAGGCCCUGCCCUCAAAACAAUUUUUUUCUUCCUAGGCCUCCAGGCCUGUGAUGGUAGGGCUGCCUUGGAGGUCUCUGACAUUCCCUGGAGACAUUUCCCUCAUUGUGUUGGUGAUGAACAUUCAGCUCUUCAUUACAUAUACACAUUUCUGUAGUGGGCUUGAAUUUCUCCCUAGAGAAUGGGUUUUUCUUUUCCAAUGCCUUGCCAAGCUGCACAUUUUCCAAACUUUAAAGCUCUGCUUCUUCUUGAACACUUUGCCACUUAGAAAUUUCUUCUGCCAGAUAUGCUAAAUCAUCUCUGUCAAGUUCAAAGUUCCACAGAUCUCUAGGACAAGGGCAAAAUGCCACCAGUCUCUUUGCUAAAACAUAGCAAGAGUGAAAGUAUAACCCCAGUUACCAACAAGUUUCUCAUCUCCAUCUGAGACCACCUCAGCCUGAACUUCAUUGUCUGGUUCACUAUCAGCAUUUUGGUCAAAGUCAUUCAAGUCUCUAGGAAGUUCCAAACUUUCCUACAUUUUCCUGUUUUCUUCUGAGCCCUCCAAAAUGUUCCAACCUUUGUGUGUUACCCAGUUCCAAAGUCAUUUCCACAUUUAUGUGUAUUUUUACAGCAGCACCCCGCUCUUGGUACCAAUUUACUGUAGUCCGUUCUCAUGCUGCUACGAAUACCCAAGAAAAGAGGUUUAAUUGACUCACAGUUCCAUAUAGCUGGGGAGGCCUUAGAAAACUUACAAUCAUGGUGAAAGGAGCCUCUUCACAGGGUGGCAGGUGAGAGAAUGAAUGCAAGCAGGGGAAAUGCCAGAUGCUUAUAAAACCAUCAGAUCUCAUGAGACUUACUACCUAUCAUGAGAACAGCAUGGAGGAAACCACCCCCAUGAUCCUAUUACUUCCACCUGGUCUUGCCCUUGACAUGUGGGGAUUAUGGGGAUCACAAGUCAAGGUGAGAUUUGGGUGGAGACACGGAGUCAAACCAUAUAAAGGAGGCACCAACUGUGCCACAGACAGCCAGGAUUUGAAGCCACCCAAAGCCUCAUUAGGAGCAAGUGUUCACUGCAGGCUGGGACACCAGGGUGAGCCUUGUUGAUUCAGAAGACUAGACAAGUGAAACAUUUUGUUCCUGCCAUUUUGGCAUUGGAUAGAGACUGGCUGCAAUUUAUCAUUCACCAGAACAAUUUUUGGACAGAGCUUUGUAAGAGAACUCUUGCUUUGGUUUCGACAAGGCCUUGUGGCCUUAAGAAACCAAGAGAUUUUGUGGUUUGGUCUUAUUUUCAUAGAAAGACAAACAAAACAAAACAAAACAAAAACCUCUGGAAUACAAACCAAUUCUGUAUUUUAGAUUUGUCAUAUAGCUUCUGACAACCACAAAGUGCUUGAGCUUUCAAACUUAGGUUAACUAAAUGAGUAAGGAUUUCUUCUAAUUCAAAGAAACCUGUGAACAUGGCAGGGAUUCCAUCAGUGCUGCUUGCCUACUGUUGGCCACAUGCUUCUUUUUAGUUACAAGGAUUGAGACCAUGAGUCACCUAUAAUUUUAUGGUCCUUGAAAGCUUUCCUGAGAAGUCAUCUUCAGAAAUCUCCUUUCAAAUUCGAUAUCAGACUUUUACUGCAUUCAUAUUUUAUGUUAAAAGUGCCUUGUACAUUGCUGUGCCAACUGGGAUGGAGUCUUUAUCCAAAUGGGCUUAAAUAUCUGAUGAAAAUUGUAUUUUCAUGGGAAACAAAGAAAAAAAUGAGGGCCUGAUACUUCCUCAUAGCUUUGUUUCUGCCAUUGGAUCCAACAUUUGGGCGUGAAUUUUUAUUUUUUAACUCCCCAUACUAUCAUUCCCAAUGGGCAUGACUUAUUUUUUUUGAGGUUUUCUUCUUUUUUAGACUUUAGUUACUAUUUUCUCACAUGACUCUUUCCUCCCCACCUAAUAUAAUUAUAAUAUUUGUUGGAACCCAAAGAUGUUGAAACAUUACAGAGGAUGUAAACCCACUUUGCUGGUCUACAGCUUUGCAGUGUUUCUUCCUGCUACUCAAAAGCCUGUCGAGCUCCUGGAGUCAGCCUCCUGUCUUGGUUGUCAGCCUCUGUGGCUGUGAACCUACAGUGACCUUUGAGAAGUGCUUUGGUGGUCACUCAGGCACUUCCUGCUCAGGUUCAGAGUGACCCAAAACCAGGAUAUUCCAAUCCACACAGGUGCAGUCAUGCAAAUUCUGAGUGGAAUCCUUAGGGAGUUGACCCAGUGGCUGUGGUCAGAAUCUGUACAAGACUUUUUGCGAAGACAUAUUUCUUGGCUUCAGUACACUCCAUUCAGCCAGGGGAGAGGGGAAUCAUGAGCACUGCAGUGACAACAGCAUGAAGAAUGUAGAUUUCAAUCUGCAGCUUGCAGUUCACUUCAGAUUUAUGCACUGUGGGAUGUAGGGACCCACCCUACUCUGGCUGUGUACUCAUUUACUUCUGGCUAAAUGCCAGCUGUGACAGGAGAUGGUAGCAUUUUCUCAGAUGGGCCACUUCUCAUCCAGUGGGGCAGUGGGGCCGGUGGAGCCUGGUGCUGGUAUGUAUUAUUUUUAAGUUCCUUGGAUGAUUCUGGGCAGCUGGGUUUGGAACCUCUGACCUACAGGAUUUAAAAAUUUGAACAUUCCAAGUAAACUCUGGUAUUCCCUACCCCUCAGACUGGGCCAGUGAUGAGCUGGUCCUUUGGAGGACUCACAGGCCCGAAGCUCCUUCCAGUGCUUAGUGGUCUUUCUGAGGCCUGCCGGAGGCAUCCAGCCAGCAUAAUGCAAAUGCUGAGCUCUGAGAAGUGACAUCGCAUGUGGUGUUGGCAGGUGAAAGCAUGCCCAGUGGAGAUGAACCACUGUUACUGAUGUUACUGAUGCCUACAGACCACUUCCCUCCACCCCCAGGGGUGGUGCUGGGCACUGGGUGGAUUUGGCCUCACAGAGAUCCCAAAAUGAAUGAACAACAGAGAGAGGAAAGAAAGACUUGUGUGCAUUGUAAUUUCCUUCUUGGAGGCAAAAUUCUGCACCUUUAAUGAUUUGGGUGCACACACGGAGUAUACCUAUGUGUAACAGCAGACACGGAAGGACAUUCUAACCUAACUUGGCUCGGCCCGGAGGAUCCCAGAAGAGAACAAGAGUGUAGGGAUCUCUAGCUGCCCACUCUCCUCUGCUAGUGAGCAUCGCAGCCAGCAGUCACUCCUUCGAUGACAAGGAAGGUGACUACUGACGGGGACAGUCACCGUCUUAGACUUGGAAGUCGAUACUGCCAGUGGAAAAGGAAUCCCAGGCCUGCUGAGCCACGGCAUGCACUCUGCUAUUCCAGAACAUGGUUUUGAACUGAAAGCAGUUUUGUGGGUUGCAAUCAAUGAGUAGGACAGAAUCUUCCUAUUACUCAGAGGAAUAUGAUCACAUAAGUGGUCCCAAGUCAGCAGAUGGAGGGGCAGAUGGGUACUCAGAGGACAGGAAGGUCAAGUCCUUUGGAGUCUUUUCUAUAUUAUAAAAGACAACAACCUUUCCCUGACCACAUCAUACAUGUUCACAGGAGAAAACAGAAGACUUUUUUGAACAAAAUGUUUAAAAAGUGUGCUACCUUAAGAUAAAAAGGUCAGCUCUAGGGAGAAUAAUACACUACAGUUGCUCUGAUGUUAUUCAGUAAAUGGAUUACUGUGAAAAUAUCAUUGCCCUGUCAGAAUAGAUGUUUAAAAUAUAUGCAGUUGAUUUUAACCCUCUCUCAUGGAUUCUUCCCCUUUCCCUGCUGCCGCCACCCUCCCCCUGUGAGGGUGCAUGCCCAUCCCGAGCCUGGAACAACAGCCUUGGUCUCCACCAUCCCCAUCUGACCAUUUGUGGUGCAUCCUCCUGGCCGGCCCUCACUACACUUGCUAGGGGACACCUUCACCUUCUCCCUCUGUCAAAAUCAGGUUCACAUAUCUCAGUAGUUUCCACCUGCAGCACGUUGCUCAUACCUCUGCCAUAAGACAGGAUUGCAUCGCAUGGUAAUUUAUUUCAUUGCUUACUGCACUGGGGAAUCUAACAACCAGACAUUUGUCUCAUGGGUCUUUGUAUUCCUAGGGCCCUGCAAAGCCUCUAAAGCAUGCAGGCACUUUGCAAAAGCUUCCUGCUGAAUGAAAGGAGGAGCUCCUGCGAGUCACACUGCACACAGGCAGCAGGGAGCAGCAUCACCUUCCUCCCUGGAUAUGUGGAGGGUUUCAUGGGUGGGAGGAUGGUACCUGGAAGGGAGCAUGUUGGAUGGCGUCCCCAGUGAGAACACAUGGCCCCACCGUCACUCAGCUCCCAGUAAAUAGUAAGUGCUCACAAAUGUUGUUUGAGCACGAAAACCUUAAAAUAUGCAUUGUGGGCACUACUGACUAUUUUUGGAGGAGGAGACCAGGUCCUAAAGUGAGAUGAGUCUUACCAGGUGUCACCCAGCGGUUCUGGGACCAUGUGAGGCUCCUGUUCUGGUUCCCAGCCAUAAGCUCAGCUUUUACUUCCCCUGGGAGGUUCUGUGGUUGAGGACAGAUUGUGGAAGACCUGAAGGCAGUUGGUACAUAGCCACAGACUUCUCUGUUAUGGGAUUUACUUCUCAAAGAAUGUAAAUCUGGAUGCCUACUGCAAUUGAGCCGAGUGUUCCAUUCCCAUGGGUGUGAGCUGGAGGGGAGCUGCUGCCUGGGCACACUGUCUUCCAAGUCACCUGUAUCACAAACAGCACACAAAAUUCCCAAGGACCUCAAGUCCUGCGAAGCAGUGAGCGCAUCUGCAUGAGGGCUUCCAUCUGUCACUGUCAACUCCAGAAUUCACAUCGAUUUUGCUGUUUCUAACAUAAACUGUGACUAUUGCUGUGGUUUGAGGGUUUGUAACAAGCAAUAAAAUACAAGUGGACGUUCAAUUUACUUAAAGCUUAUACAUGUCAGCACCUAACCAAAUAAAAAAGAGGAGGAAAAAUAAACUGACAAUGAUUAAUAUCACUAAUGAUUUGUUUUGCUUAUUUUCUAAAGUAGAAACUUGAUCCUCUCUGUUUAAAAUAGACAGAGACAUGAUACCAGGAAGCACGAAAGCAGUUUAGCUUCUGUGUUUACU